GUGGCCUAGUGGUUAGCGCGCCCGCCUCUGAUGCGGGAAGUCGUGGGUUCUAUCCCCGGUCGAAUCA